CCUACGGGAUGCAGCAGUGGGGAAUAUUGCACAAUGGGGGAAACCCUGAUGCAGCGACGCCGCGUGAGUGAAGAAGUAUUUCGGUAUGUAAAGCUCUAUCAGCAGGGAAGAAAAUGACGGUACCUGAUUAAGAAGCACCGGCUAACUACGUGCCAGCAGCAGCGGUAAUACGUAGGGGGCAAGCGUUAUCCGGAUUUACUGGGUGUAAAGGGAGCGUAGACGGCAGCACAAGUGUGGAGUGAAAUGCCGGGGAUUAACCCCAGAACUGCUUUGGAAACUGUGCAGCUAGAGUGCAGGAGAGGUAAGUGGAAUUCCUGGUGUAGCGGUGAAAUGCGUAGAUAUUAGGAGGAACC
rnacentral:rRNA from 1 species